rnacentral:rRNA from 1 species
GAGUGGCGCACGGGUGCGUAACGCGUAUGCAACCUACCUUAAUCAGGGGGAUAGCCCGAAGAAAUUCGGAUUAACACCGCAUAAAAUCACAGUACAGCAUUGUAUAAUGAUCAAAUAUUUAUAGGAUUAAGAUGGGCAUGCGUGUCAUUAGUUAGUUGGCGGGGUAACGGCCCACCAAGACCACGAUGACUAGGGGAUCUGAGAGGAUGACCCCCCACACUGGUACUGAGACACGGACCAGACUCCUACGGGAGGCAGCAGUAAGGAAUAUUGGUCAAUGGAGGCAACUCUGAACCAGCCAUGCCGCGUGCAGGAAGACAGCCCUCUGGGUCGUAAACUGCUUUUAUUCGGGAAUAAACCUACUUACGUGUAAGUAGCUGAAUGUACCGAAGGAAUAAGGAUCGGCUAACUCCGUGCCAGCAGCCGCGGUAAUACGGAGGAUCCAAGCGUUAUCCGGAUUUAUUGGGUUUAAAGGGUGCGUAGGCGGCUUAUUAAGUCAGGGGUGAAAGACGGUGGCUCAACCAUCGCAGUGCCCUUGAUACUGAUGAGCUUGAAUACACUAGAGGUAGGCGGAAUGUGACAAGUAGCGGUGAAAUGCAUAGAUAUGUCACAGAACACCGAUUGCGAAGGCAGCUUACUAUGGUGUUAUUGACGCUGAGGCACGAAAGCGUGGGGAUCAAACAGGAUUAGAUACCCUGGUAGUCCACGCCCUAAACGAUGAAUACUCGCUGUUAGCGAUACACAGUUAGCGGCUAAGCGAAAGCGUUAAGUAUUCCACCUGGGGAGUACGCCCGCAAGGGUGAAACUCAAAGGAAUUGACGGGGGCCCGCACAAGCGGAGGAGCAUGUGGUUUAAUUCGAUGAUACGCGAGGAACCUUACCCGGGCUUGAAAGUUAGUGAAUGAUCUAGAGAUAGAUCAGUGAGCAAUCACACGAAACUAGGUGCUGCAUGGCUGUCGUCAGCUCGUGCCGUGAGGUGUUGGGUUAAGUCCCGCAACGAGCGCAACCCCUAUGUUUAGUUGCCAGCACGUUAAGGUGGGGACUCUAAACAGACUGCCUGUGCAAACAGAGAGGAAGGAGGGGACGACGUCAAGUCAUCAUGGCCCUUACGUCCGGGGCUACACACGUGCUACAAUGGAUGGUACAGAGGGCAGCAAGCUGGCAACAGCAAGCAAAUCUCAAAAAGCCAUUCACAGUUCGGAUAGAGGUCUGCAACUCGACCUCUUGAAGUUGGAUUCGCUAGUAAUCGCGUAUCAGCAAUGACGCGGUGAAUACGUUCCCGGGCCUUGUACACACCGCCCGUCAAGCCAUGGAAGUUGGGGGUACCUAAAGUAUGUAACCGCAAGGAGCGUCCUAGGGUAAAACCGAUAACUGGGGCUAAGUCGUAACAAGGUAACC